GUAGAUGUCCAAUAUCAGUGCAAAGUUGCGCGUGUGUGUGAGAGAGUGCGUUGAGCAAUGCACUCAUCAGCAAAUGGGAACAGUUAAUGCCAAACUUCAAAUUGAUUUUUACGCGGCUCAAAAGAAAUACAAAAAUGACAUUGAAACUAUAUGUUUGCUCCAUCGACACGGUUCAGAAAAUCAAUUAAUCAUGCGCGGCUAACUUAAUCUAUUCAAUGUGGCCAGACUGCCACACAAAUACUCAC